GGAUUAUUGCUUGGGGCAAUGACGCAACUAGUGAGGUACUAACUGAUGCACGACUAUUGCUAGUUGAAAACUAUUUCCAGUCCCCUGGCCUGGGUUUUGAGAAUUUCUGGGAGGACUCCCUCCUC